UGAUCAAGCGUUAAAGGGCAUUCAGGGGAUGCCUUGGCGCCAAGAGCUGAUGAAGGACGUAGUUGGUUGCGAUAAGCGACGGGAAGCCGCCAACAGGCGUUGAUCCGUUGAUGUCCGAAUCGGGAAACCGGGCGCGGAGCAAUCCGCGUCAUCCUCCGCUGAAUACAUAGGCGGAAGGAAGGCAACGCAGGGAACUGAAACAUCUCAGUACCUGUAGGAACAGAAAGCAGAGCGAUUCCCUGAGUAGCGGCGAGCGAAAAGGGAACAGCCUAAACCGGAUGGGUGUCAAGCCCGCAGGCGUUGCCCAUCCGGGGUUGCGGGACAUGAUUGGGCCGGGUUGCGGACCGGCCGGGGAGUCAAAAAAUCCAAUCUUAGCCGAAGGGCCUGGGAAGGCCCGCCAUAGUGGGUGAGAGCCCCGUAGGCGAAAAGAGCGGAUCUCCCUGGAUUAUGUUCCCAAGUAUCGCGGGGCACGUGAAACCCAGCGUGAAUCAGGGUGGACCAUCAUCCAAGGCUAAAUACUACUUGGCGACCGAUAGUGAACGAGUACCGUGAGGGAAAGGUGAAAAGAACCCCUGUUAGGGGAGUUCAAAGAAUCUGAAACUGAAUGCCUACAAGCAGUGGGAGCCCAAUGCCCGCAAGGGAAAGGGUGACCGCGUACCUUUUGCAUAAUGAGCCAGCGAGUUACUGUGCGUGGCAAGGUUAAGCCGUAAGGUGGAGCCGGAGCGAAAGCGAGUCCGAAAUGGGCGUCUAGUCGCGCGUUGUAGACCCGAAGCCGCAGUGAUCUAUCCAUGACCAGGGUGAAACGGGGGUAACACCUCGUGGAGGCCCGAACCGGUGCAUGUUGAAAAAUGUUCGGAUGAGUUGUGGAUAGGGGUGAAAGGCCAAACAAACUCGGCGAUAGCUGGUUCUCCCCGAAAUAUAUUUAGGUAUAGCCUCAUGUAAUAGUUUAUGGCCGUAGGGCUCUGAUUGGGCUAGGGGUCUCACCAGGCUACCAAACCCUGUCAAUCUUCGAAGACCAUAAACCGUACCAUGGGAGACAGACGGCGGGUGAUAAGAUCCGUCGUCGAGAGGGAAACAACCCAGACCAUCAGCUAAGGCCCCAAAGACCGGGCUAAGUGGAGAAGGUUGUGGGGACGCUUAGACAGCCAGGAGGUUGGCUUAGAAGCAGCCAUCCUUUAAAGAAAGCGUAAUAGCUCACUGGUCAAGCGGCCCUGCGCCGAAAAUUCAACGGGGCUAAAGCCCGGCGCCGAAGCUAUGGACUCCGCAAGGAGUGGUAGGGGAGCGUUCCAUGUGGGAUGAAGUUCGACCGCGAGGACGGGUGGACUGCAUGGAAGUGAGAAUGCUGGCAUGAGUAACGAUAAACCGGGUGAGAAACCCGGUCGCCGUAAACCCAAGGGUUCCUGAGGAAGGUUAAUCCGCUCAGGGUUAGUCGGCCCCUAAGGCGAGGCCGAAAGGCGUAGCUGAUGGGAAACAGGUUAAUAUUCCUGUACUGUCUGUGUUCCGUUAUUACGACGGGGUGACGCAGUAGGGUAGGUCAGCCGGGCGAUGGUUGUCCCGGUACAAGCGUGUAGGAGGGGUUUCCAGGCAAAUCCGGAAGCCCACUACUCCGAGACGUUACGUGGCCCAAAGCCUACGGGCUGAGGGUAACUGAUUGAUCCCACACUGCCGAGAAAAACCUCUAAGGAGGAGCAUGGAUAACCGUACCCGAAACCGACACAGGUGGGUGAGGAGAGAAUCCUAAGGCGCUUGAGAGAACUCUGGUUAAGGAACUUAGCAAAUUUACUCCGUAACUUCGGAAGAAGGAGUGCCUCCUGUACGUGAAAGGGCUUGCCCCCGUAGCGGAAGGAGGUCGCAGCGAAGAGGCAGCCGCGACUGUUUACUAAAAACACAGGUCUCUGCUAAGCCGUAAGGCGAAGUAUAGGGACUGACGCCUGCCCGGUGCCGGAAGGUUAACAGGAGGCGUUAGCCGCAAGGCGAAGCGCUGAAUCGAAGCCCCGGUAAACGGCGGCCGUAACUAUAACGGUCCUAAGGUAGCGAAAUUCCUUGUCGGGUAAGUUCCGACCUGCACGAAUGGCGUAACGAAGGCUGCACUGUCUCAACCAGGGACUCAGUGAAAUUGAUUUACCGGUGAAAACGCCGGUUACCCGCGACAGGACGGAAAGACCCCGUGCACCUUUACUAUAACCUGGUACUGAAACUUGGGUCGGCAUGUGUAGGAUAGGUGGGAGACUUUGAAGCCAGGACGCUAGUCUUGGUGGAGUCAACCUUGAAAUACCACCCUUGUUGUUCUGAUUUUCUAACUUAAGCCCCUGAAUCGGGGAUAAGGACAAUGCCAGGCGGGUAGUUUGACUGGGGCGGUCGCCUCCUAAAGAGUAACGGAGGCGCGCGAAGGUUCCCUCAGGCUGAUUGGAAACCAGCCGACGAGUGCAAAAGCAUAAGGGAGCUUGACUGCGAGACCCACAAGUCGAGCAGGUACGAAAGUAGGCUUUAGUGAUCCGGUGGUCCCGUAUGGAAGGGCCAUCGCUCAACGGAUAAAAGGUACGCCGGGGAUAACAGGCUGAUCGCGUCCAAGAGUCCAUAUCGACGACGCGGUUUGGCACCUCGAUGUCGGCUCACCGCAUCCUGGGGCUGAAGCAGGUCCCAAGGGUUGGUCUGUUCGCCCAUUAAAGCGGUACGCGAGCUGGGUUUAGAACGUCGUGAGACAGUUCGGUCCCUAUCCGUCGUGGGCGCUGGAUAUUUGAGGGGAUCUGUCCCUAGUACGAGAGGACCGGGAUGUACCGACCUCUAGUGUUCCGAUUGUCCCGCCAGGGGCAUAGUCGGGUAGCUACGUCGGGAAAGGAUAACCGCUGAAAGCAUCUAAGUGGGAAACCUACCCCAAGAUUAGAUAUCCCCAUUAGGCGCCUCGUAGACCACGAGGUUGAUAGGCCAGGCGUGGAAGCGCUGUGAGGCGUGAAGCUUACUGGUACUAAUAGCCGAUUGGCUUGAUCUUAAAA
rnacentral:rRNA from 1 species